UACAGAGGUCCCAAGCGUUGUUCGGAUUCACUGGGCGUAAAGGGCUCGUAGGCGGUUUGUCACGUCGGGAGUGAAAACUCGGGGCUUAACCCCGAGCCUGCUUCCGAUACGGGCUGACUAGAGGUAUGCAGGGGAGAACGGAAUUCCUGGUGUAGCGGUGAAAUGCGCAGAUAUCAGGAGGAACACCGGUGGCGAAGGCGGUUCUCUGGGCAUUACCUGACGCUGAGGAGCGAAAGUGUGGGGAGCGAACAGG
rnacentral:rRNA from 1 species